rnacentral:rRNA from 1 species
CCAAUAGCGUAUAUUAAAGUUGUUGCAGUUAAAAAGCUCGUAGUUGAAUUUCGGGAUCGACGGGUCGGUCGCGCCUCUGGUGUGUACUGGCCCUGUCGGUUUCUCCCUUCUGACGAACCACGAUGUCAUUAAUUUGGUGUCGUGGGAAAUCAGGACUGUUACUUUGAAAAAAUUAGAGUGUUUAAAGCAGGCAUUCGCUU